AGCUGUUAUUUUUGAUAAAGAUAACUGCUUGAUGAGACCUUAUGAAUUAGAAAUUUUCCCAAACCUUCGUGAUGCUUUUAAUGACUGUGUUAGUAUUUUUGGCCCUGAAAACGUUGCUAUAAUCUCCAACAGUGCAGGUUCUUCUGACGAUCAUAAUUAUUUUGAGGCUUUAAAAUUAGAAAAGACUUUGGGAAUUCGAGUAGUUAAGCACGGAACGAAAAAGCCUGCUGGUCGUGAAUUGCUUCUUCGCUUUUUUCGUUUUCGUUCUGAAGAGAUUGUUAUGAUUGGAGAUCGCAUACUUACUGAUGUUGUACUUGGGAAUAUGUGCAACUUUUUGACAAUACACACUCAGAAAAUUACUUCAAAAGACGAUUAUUACUUUGCUAAAUUGAUCCGAUUCUUUGAAAACUUUUUUUUAAAAAAUGAAAUUAAACGGGACCAUGCGCUGGCUAAAUCAAGCGUUAUCAAGAUUUCA